rnacentral:lncRNA from 1 species
UCUCCCAACCACCAUCCAUAUUUUCAGAACAUAGGAAGAUACUAUUGCAUUGAAGACUCCAAGGGUUUUAGGAACUAUGUGCCAGAAACUAGGUAGAGACCAGAUAAGUUUUUUUUUUUUUAUAUCAAAUAAGUCUGAUUAAAGUUGGUGUUUCUCACAGAGACUAGCAAAGAACUUAGUAAAUAUUUGAGCGUGGGUAGAGGAGUAAUGAGGCCUCAUCUGUGGUCAUCAGAGUUUGUACUUUCUCCUCCGACACAUCUGUGAGGAGGCCAUGUAAGUAGUGCGUGCUUCUCAGACUGUCUGAGUGAAGAGUAGUUAACACACGUGACACCUCACGUACAUGAAGUGGAAAGUUUGGGAAGUUCUGUUCUAUGUAGUAUAUACCUGUGAAGCCCUCACCACAGUCAGUACAGUGACCAUCCAUCACUCCCAAAAGUUCAUGUCCUUUAUAAGCCCCUGUUUCUGUCAUUAUAUGUUGUAUAUGUUCCCAAAAAAAUGCUUCUGCUGAGAGAAGCCAGACAGAAUAUAUGGUGGUUUGGAUGAAAAUGGCCCCCAGAGGCUCAGAGGAAGUGGCAUUAGUUGAAAGGAUUAGGACUUGUGGCCUUGUUGGAGUACAUGUGGCAUUGUUAGAGGAAAUGUAUCAUUGGGGGUGGUCUUUGGAGUUUCAAAUGCUUAAAGCCAGGCCUCUUCCUGUUGUCUGCCAAUCCAGAUGGAGAACUCUCAGCUCCUUCUUCAGCACUAUGCUUGCCUGCGCACUGCCAUGUUUCCCACCAUGAUGGUAAUAAACCUGUGAACUGUAAGACAGCACCAGUUAAAUGUUCUCCUCUGUUAGAGUUGCUGUGGCCAUGGUGUCUCUUCACAGCAGUAACACCCUAACGAAUACAGAGGACACACCACAUAACUCCAUUCUCACAGACAUCUACAAAAGCUGACUAAUUUGCAGUGACAGAAAUUAGAUGACUCCUCUGUUAGGUUCUUCCAUUUCAGCAUAAGGAUUUGAGAUUUAGCUACCUUGCUUUGUGCAUCUGUAAUUCCUUUUAUUGCUGGGUGUUAUUUCAUGAAGCCACAGUUUAUCAAUUUACCUUUUGAUGGGCAUUUGAAUUGCUUUCCACUUUAGCUGGUACAAACACUAUAAUGUACAAGAAUUUAGGGGUACAUUUUUCUGUUUCUCUAGGUAAAUGACUAAUACUAGAAUGACUGGGUUAUAUGGUAAGAUAUAUAAAUAUUUUGUUACAAAUUAUGUUUCUCUUUACCACUCAAACUAUUUCAGACCUCACAGUUUUAAAUAACACAUAAUAUUAUCUUACACAUUUGUGGAUUAGAAAGACUAGAACAACUUAAUGAGUCCUUUGCUUAGGAUCUCACAAGACUGAGGUCAAGAUAGUGGCCAAUGCUAUGUUUUCCUGUGGAGGCUAAACUAAGAAAGGGUCCUCUUCUAUUUCUGUGUAUACAAGGAUUGUAUACAAAUCCUUGUGACUGAUUUUCAUGGCAAGUUUAUUUUUCAAAGACAGCCAGUCAAAAACAGAGUUAAGCAAUUCAUUUAUUUAUAACAUCAGUUUCAGGAGGAGUCUCAUGCCCGCUACUGAACUCCACAGGCACUUCAUGCACAUUGUACACGGACACCUAAAAUAAACAUAAAUAAUAUCUUUAUGUCUCUAAUUAUCCUCCUCUUCCUUUUAUACUGCCAGUUUCCUAGCCUACUAAAAAUGUUUAGGGAUAAAAAUUAACUCUAGAAAUGGAAGAGGUGUGUACUGAAACAAACAAAAACUCACCAUAUGAAAUUACAGAAGACCAAAACCUAAAGCAGCGUGGGAAAGAUCGCCCGUGUCCAUGGGUUGGAAGACGUCACACUGUUGAGGUGACAGUACUUCCAAGUAGAUCUGUAGGUCUAGUGUGGUCCCUAUCAAAACUCCAACGCCUGAGCGGAGCUGGGAGUGUGAACAGACAGAUGCUGAGAGAGUGCUUGGCUCUCAGAUGCAGAACCAGUCCAGCGGCGUGUUUGGGGAAAUAGGCAAGCAGCUGCUGACGUCCUCUGGAGCUGCUCAGACCCUCCACCGCCAAAACAGUAGUGAGAAAGAACAAAGUCAGGAACUCACUUUUUGAAUUUUAAAAUACUUAAAAUACGUCUUUUAUUAAGACUAGC